rnacentral:misc_RNA from 1 species
GAUGAAGAACGUAGCAAAAUGCGAUAAGUAAUGUGAAUUGCAGAAUUCAGUGAAUCAUCGAAUCUUUGAACGCACAUUGCGCCCCCUGGAAUUCCGGGGGGCAUGCCUGUUCGAGCGUCUCAGGGACGAACCCUCGCGCGGGUGUACGCGCGGUCGUGGCUGCGGUGGCGUGCCCGAGGCGGCGGCCACCGCGCUGGAAUCCAUGGGCGGACGCCUGCCGCGUGGCCGAGCGUGAUAUGACGCUUUGGCGCUCGCACGCGGCGAGGCUGCCAGCCCUGGCCCGUCUGUCGGGCGGGGGAGAGCAAGACACGUGAACUCCUCGAAUCAGGUAGGGAUACCCGCUGAACUUAAGCAUAUCAAUAAGCGGAGG